rnacentral:tRNA from 1 species
GCGAGGGUGGUGAAAUUGGAAGACACGCCAGACUUAGGAUCUGGUGCCGAAAGGUAUAGGGGUUCAAGUCCCCUCUCUCGCA